rnacentral:lncRNA from 10 species
ACUUGAACCCAGGAGGCAGAGGUUGCAGUGAGCUGAGAUUGCGCCAUUGCUCUCCAGCCUGAACAACAAGAGCGGGACUCUGUCUCAAAACAAACAAACAAAUAAACAAAAAAACCUUCCCAAACAUGUCCACAUCCUUUGCCCCUUUUUUCUGUCCUGCCACAGUUUCUCCAAAGCUGCCCUUAGGUUCUACCCUCGCAUUUGGGUAGAAGUCCCAUAACUUUUACCCCUACCACAUAAAAAUUGCUCUCAGGCAUCAUCCUGCUCUCUAUUCUCUCUCAGAGGAAAUUUCUGUCCCCUAAUUCAUCUUUUUAUUUUAUUUAUUUAUUUAUUUUUUAAUUUAAGAGUUAGGGUCUCACUGUGUCACCCAGGCUGGAGUGCAGUGGCACAGUCAUGGCUCAAUAGUAGCUUCAACCUCUUGGGCUCAAACAAUCCUCCCAAUUCAGCUUCCUUAAAAGCUAGGACUACAGACACAUGCCAUCAAGCCUCGCUAACUUUUAAAUUUUUUGUAGAGACAGGGUCUUGCUAUGUUGCCCAGGCUGGUCUUGAACUCCUGGACUCAAGCAAUCCUCCCACCUCAGCCUCCCAAAGUACUUGAAUACUGGGAUUGAAGGUGUGAGCCACCAUGCCCAGCCUUCUCUUAAUUUCUUGAGUAAACCUUGCUCUACUCUACCUCAGAGUCUUUGCACUCGCUGCUCACUCUACCUGGACCACUUCUUCUCCAAGCCCAUCUCUCCCAGCCCCAUCCCUCACCUGAAUAACAACCACUCCUCCUCAGAUCUCCGCUUCCAUGCUACUUUCUCAGUGACUACCCACGAUACACUAGCAUGCAAAAGAAGUUACCUAAAUGCAAAACUAAGUUUGGCUGUGCUCCUGCCUGCUAACAAGAGAGGGAGCAUAGUUCUUAUCAAAGGGAAAAUCUACCUGCAUAUUGGUCCCUUCCACUUACAGAGGGAAACAAAGAAAGGCUGAAACUCUGACUCACCUGUCAGUUUUUGCUGUGCUAUUAAAGGAGAAGCCUC